rnacentral:tRNA from 1 species
GGCUGGAUCACCUCCUUUUGAGCAUGACAGCUACGCCUACAGGCGUCCUCACAAGUAACCUGCAUUCAGAGAGUUCCGCCACGGGGCGGAGCACCCCGAUUUCGGGGCCAUAGCUCAGCUGGGAGAGCACCUGCUUUGCAAGCAGGGGGUCGUCGGUUCGAUCCCGACUGGCUCCACCAGAUUUGCAGAUCCCUCUGCAAACGCUCGCACCUGCGUGUGCGGACGGUCUCAGGGACCUGCAAGAGCCAAGACUUUGGGUCUGUAGCUCAGGUGGUUAGAGCGCACCCCUGAUAAGGGUGAGGUCGGUGGUUCGAGUCCUCCCAGACCCACCACUCUGAAUGUAAGAAGCACACUAAGAAUUUAAGAUGCGCAGUGAGCUGGGUAUGUUCUUUUAAAAUUGUGACGUGGCGAGCGUUUGAGAUCAACUAUCUGACGUGUCGUGUGCUAAGCGGGACCUCGAGCUCCUAGAAAUGAGUCGUAUAGUUCGCGUCCGGCGUUGUACCCCGGACUUCAGCAUGCCAUUGAGGCACUUAGGUUAUA